ACAGCCAUAUCACAUUGAAGCACCAGUUCUCAUGUGAUCACCAAAGUUAAACAACAUUGAGGCUAGUCAGUACCUAGAUGGGUGACUACUUUGGAAUACCAGGUGCUGUAA